AGAGUUUGAUCCUGGCUCAGGAUGAACGCUAGCUACAGGCUUAACACAUGCAAGUCGAGGGGCAGCAUGGUCUUAGCUUGCUAAGGCUGAUGGCGACCGGCGCACGGGUGAGUAACACGUAUCCAACCUGCCGUCUACUCUUGGCCAGCCUUCUGAAAGGAAGAUUAAUCCAGGAUGGCAUCAUGAGUUCACAUGUCCGCAUGAUUAAAGGUAUUUUCCGGUAGACGAUGGGGAUGCGUUCCAUUAGAUAGUAGGCGGGGUAACGGCCCACCUAGUCAACGAUGGAUAGGGGUUCUGAGAGGAAGGUCCCCCACAUUGGAACUGAGACACGGUCCAAACUCCUACGGGAGGCAGCAGUGAGGAAUAUUGGUCAAUGGGCGAUGGCCUGAACCAGCCAAGUAGCGUGAAGGAUGACUGCCCUAUGGGUUGUAAACUUCUUUUAUAAAGGAAUAAAGUCGGGUAUGCAUACCCGUUUGCAUGUACUUUAUGAAUAAGGAUCGGCUAACUCCGUGCCAGCAGCCGCGGUAAUACGGAGGAUCCGAGCGUUAUCCGGAUUUAUUGGGUUUAAAGGGAGCGUAGAUGGAUGUUUAAGUCAGUUGUGAAAGUUUGCGGCUCAACCGUAAAAUUGCAGUUGAUACUGGAUGUCUUGAGUGCAGUUGAGGCAGGCGGAAUUCGUGGUGUAGCGGUGAAAUGCUUAGAUAUCACGAAGAACUCCGAUUGCGAAGGCAGCCUGCUAAGCUGCAACUGACAUUGAGGCUCGAAAGUGUGGGUAUCAAACAGGAUUAGAUACCCUGGUAGUCCACACGGUAAACGAUGAAUACUCGCUGUUUGCGAUAUACGGCAAGCGGCCAAGCGAAAGCGUUAAGUAUUCCACCUGGGGAGUACGCCGGCAACGGUGAAACUCAAAGGAAUUGACGGGGGCCCGCACAAGCGGUGGAGCAUGUGGUUUAAUUCGAAGCAACGCGAAGAACCUUACCAAAUCUUGACAUCCCUCUGACCGGUCUUUAAUCGGACCUUCUCUUCGGAGCAGAGGUGACAGGUGGUGCAUGGUUGUCGUCAGCUCGUGUCGUGAGAUGUUGGGUUAAGUCCCGCAACGAGCGCAACCCCUAUCCUCAGUAGCCAGCAUUUAAGGUGGGCACUCUGGGGAGACUGCCAGGGAUAACCUGGAGGAAGGCGGGGAUGACGUCAAAUCAUCAUGCCCCUUAUGAUUUGGGCUACACACGUGCUACAAUGGCGUAAACAAAGGGAAGCGAGAUCGUGAGAUGGAGCAAAUCCCAAAAAUAACGUCCCAGUUCGGACUGUAGUCUGCAACCCGACUACACGAAGCUGGAAUCGCUAGUAAUCGCGGAUCAGAAUGCCGCGGUGAAUACGUUCCCGGGUCUUGCACACACCGCCCGUCAAG
rnacentral:rRNA from 1 species